UGCUACGUCAAGUCUGAAAGGUCUGAUGCGAAAAAGGUGGCGGAUUUUAAAUUUUUGAAUGAUUUCUUUACCCUUUGAUAUGCAAUUGUGCGGUUUUUAGAAGAACUUGUUUCCAUAUGAGGAAGAAAAAGGGUUUAUGUCCAAUCGGUAUUUCGAUGAACACCCGGAAACAAACUGGACUGGACAAGCAGCGGCUCCACUGUUGGAUGUCAAUGAAGCUCGGCAACCGGUUUAGACAGGCAUCAGUAUUGGCCAAUAGAGCAAUAAUGCACACCGGGUGAGGCAGUGAAGCACAGCCUGGUUUACAGCAGCUCCGAGCACAUGAUUCUUCCAAGGUGAUUGGAUUCAGAGGACAGCCAGCCCUAUGUACUCCUCAUACUGCAGCAAUAACCCC